rnacentral:rRNA from 1 species
UACGAGGGGGCGAGCGUUGUUCGGAAUUAUUGGGCGUAAAGGGUGCGUAGGCGGUUCCGCAAGUCCUGUGUGAAAUCUUCGGGCUCAACUCGAAGUCUGCACGGGAAACUGCGGGGCUUGAGUGUGGGAGAGGUGAGUGGAAUUCCGGUGUAGCGGUGAAAUGCGUAGAUAUCGGGAGGAACACCUGUGGCGAAAGCGGCUCACUGGACCAUACUGACGCUGAUGCACGAAAGCUGGGGGAGCAAACAGG